UGAGAUUCUGGAAAAUUCUGGGGAAGAAGGAGAUGAUUUCUGGAAAUAUAAGUUGUUUGAUCCACUUCUGCGUUUGAACUUUUGAAUUGGAAGUUUGCCGCGCCCGCGUUUCAAUAUUUACAACUAUGCCAUUAAUGAAAUCCAAUUAAUUAUAUUAAUUCAAAUAAAUUGUAAAAAAUUCAUAAUCACUUUAAAAAAUUCAUAAAAAAUUAUUUAAAAAUCAGAAAAAUGUGUGGAUUUUUUUGUUGAC
rnacentral:lncRNA from 1 species